AUGAACGCUGACAGAAUGCUUAACACAUGCCAGUCUCCUUGAACUUCGGUUUGGGUGGCGGACGGGUGAGUAACGCGUAAAGAACUUGCCUCACAGUUAGGGACAACAUUUGGAAACGAAUGCUAAUACCUGAUAUUAUGAUUUUAGGGCAUCCUAGGAUUAUGAAAGCUAUAUGUGCUGUGAGAGAGCUUUGCGUCCCAUUAGCUAGUUGGAGAGGUAACGGCUCACCAAGGCGAUGAUGGGUAGCCGGCCUGAGAGGGUGAACGGCCACAAGGGGACUGAGACACGGCCCUUACUCCUACGGGAGGCAGCAGUGGGGAAUAUUGGACAAUGGACCAAAAGUCUGAUCCAGCAAUUCUGUGUGCACGAUGACGUUUUUCGGAAUGUAAAGUGCUUUCAGUUGGGAAGAAAAAAAUGACGGUACCAACAGAAGAAGUGACGGCUAAAUACGUG
rnacentral:rRNA from 1 species